rnacentral:misc_RNA from 1 species
GAUGAAGAACGUAGCGAAAUGCGAUAAGUAAUGUGAAUUGCAGAAUUCAGUGAAUCAUCGAAACUUUGAACGCACCUUGCGCUCCUUGGUAUUCCGAGGAGCAUGCCUGUUUGAGUGUCAUUAAAUUCUCAACCUCACCAGUUUUCUGAACUGUUCUUCGAGGCUUGGAUGUGGGGGUUUGUGCAGGCUGCCUCACGGCGGUCCGCUCCCCUGAAAUGCAUUAGCGAGUUCAUACUGAACUUCCGUCUAUUGGUGUGAUAAUUAUCUACGCCGUGGACGAGGAUCAGACUCGCUUCUAACCGUCCGCGAGGACAAUACCUUGACAAUUUGACCUCAAAUCAGGUAGGACUACCCGCUGAACUUAAGCAUAUCAAUAAGCGGAGGA